UAUGGCCAGAUCACUUUGAAACACUGGUUCUUGUACAAUCACUGAAUUUAAGCAUUGUUGAGCCUGGUUAGUAACAAGAUGGGUGACCACUUGGGAAUACUAGUUGGUGUA